UACGGAGGGGGCAAGCGUUAUCCGGAUUUACUGGGUGUAAAGGGAGCGUAGACGGAAUUGCAAGUCUGAUGUGAAAAUCCGGGGCCCAACCCCGGAACUGCAUUGGAAACUGUAUUUCUAGAGUGUCGGAGAGGCAAGUGGGAUUCCUGGUGUAGCGGUGAAAUGCGUAGAUAUCAGGAGGAACACCAGUGGCGAAGGCGGCUUGCUGGACGAUGACUGACGUUGAGGCUCGAAAGCGUGGGGAGCAAACAGG
rnacentral:rRNA from 1 species